GGCCCCGUAGCUCAGCUGGAUAGAGCACCGGUUUCCUAAACCGGGUGUCGCAGGUUCAAGUCCUGCCGGGGUCACCA
rnacentral:tRNA from 1 species